GGGAGUAGCUCAGUUGGAUAGAGCAGCGGUCUUCUAAACCGCAGGUCGUGGGUUCGAAUCCCACCUCCCG
rnacentral:tRNA from 1 species